UACGUAGGGUGCGAGCGUUAAUCGGAAUUACUGGGCGUAAAGCGUGCGCAGGCGGUUCGUUGUGUCGGCGGGGAAAGCCCCGGGCUUAACCUGGGAAUGGCCGUUGAAACUGGCGAACUGGAGUGUGGCAGAGGGGGGUGGAAUUCCGCGUGUAGCAGUGAAAUGCGUAGAGAUGCGGAGGAACACCGAUGGCGAAGGCAGCCCCCUGGGCUAACACUGACGCUCAGGCACGAAAGCGUGGGGAGCAACCAGG
rnacentral:rRNA from 1 species